rnacentral:rRNA from 1 species
AUUGAACGCUGGCGGCAGGCCUAACACAUGCAAGUCGAGCGAGCGGCGGACGGGUGAGUAAUGCCUAGGAAUCUGCCUGGUAGUGGGGGAGAACGUCCGGACACGGGCGCUAAUACCGCAUACCAUCAGAUGAACCCAUAUGGGCUUAGCUAGUAGGUGCGGGUACGGCUUACCUAGGCGACGAUCCCUAGCUGGUCUGAGAGGAUGAUCAGACACACUGGACAUUGCACACGGCCCGGACGCCUACUGUAGGCAGCAGUGGGGAAUAUUGCACAAUUGGCGCAAGCCGUAUGCAGCCAUGCCGCGUGUAUGAAGAAGGCCUUCGGGUUGUAAAGUACUUUCAGUCGUGAGGCGUUACCGACAGAAGAAGCACCGGCUAACGCCGUGCCAGCCGCCGCGGUAAUUC